GCCUGGGCUACACAUUUAAAGCCAGACACCAUGCAAAAGUAAAGUCUUCCUUUAAGAUGGCUGAUAUGCUAUAUUUUAUGGUAUAUCAUUAUUAAAAGUGAGUACAAGA
ensembl:snoRNA LOC120102010 small nucleolar RNA SNORA15